GUCUUAUUGAAUUUAAUUUUAAGUCGAUCUGCCCAAUGAUUAUAAUUUAAUGGCUGCAGUAUAUUUAACUGUACAAAGGUAGCAUAAUCAAUUGUUUUUUAAUUAAAAUCUAGAAUGAAAGAAUUAAUGAGAUAUAUACUGUCUCAUAUAUAAUUAAUAAAUUUAAAUUUUUAGUAAAAAUGCUUAAAUUAUUUUAUGGGACGAUAAGACCCUAUAGAAUUUUAUAUAAUAAAUUUAUAUUAAUUAUUUAAUAAAAUUUUUUAUAUUUAAUUGGGAGGAUUAGUAAAUUAAAAAAACUUUAUUUUAAAAUAAAACUUUGAUUUAAGAAUUUUUUUGAUCUUGUAUUAUAAAUUAAAAGAAUAAAUUACCUUAGGGAUAACAGCGUAAUAUCUUUUUAAAGACCAAAUUUAUAAAGAUGAUUGCGACCUCGAUGUUGAAUUAAGAUUAAUUUUGAAUGUAGAAGUUUAAUAAUUAAGUCUGUUCGACUUUUAAAAUCUUACAUGAUUUGAGUUCAAAUCGACGUAAGU
rnacentral:rRNA from 1 species